UAGAAGGACCUACAGGGCUUGUGUUUGAAU
rnacentral:piRNA from 1 species